UGGGGAAUUUUGGACAAUGGGCGAAAGCCUGAUCCAGCAAUGCCGCGUGUGUGAAGAAGGCCUUCGGGUUGUAAAGCACUUUUGUCCGGAAAGAAAUCCUUGGCUCUAAUACAGUCGGGGGAUGACGGUACCGGAAGAAUAAGCACCGGCUAACUACGUGCCAGCAGCCGCGGUAAUACGUAGGGUGCAAGCGUUAAUCGGAAUUACUGGGCGUAAAGCGUGCGCAGGCGGUUUGCUAAGACCGAUGUGAAAUCCCCGGGCUCAACCUGGGAACUGCAUUGGUGACUGGCAGGCUAGAGUAUGGCAGAGGGGGGUAGAAUUCCACGUGUAGCAGUGAAAUGCGUAGAGAUGUGGAGGAAUACCGACGGCGAAGGCAGCCCCCUGGGCCAAUACUGACGCUCAUGCACGAAAGCGUGGGGAGCAAACAGGAUUAGAUACCCUGGUAGUCCACGCCCUAAACGAUGUCAACUAGCUGUUGGGGAUUCAUUUCCUUAGUAACGUAGCUAACGCGUGAAGUUGACCGCCUGGGGGAGUACGGUCGCAAGAUUAAAACUUAAAUGAAUUGACGGGGUCAUAGCUGUUUCCU
rnacentral:rRNA from 1 species